rnacentral:rRNA from 1 species
AUGGACGGGCUAGGGCAUACCGCCUUGGUGGCGCAGCUCGUCGGGACCGUGGGCAGGCUCAUCUCCAAGAUCAUUGAUGCUGCGAGGACGGCACGCCAGAACAAGCGGGAGUGCGAGUACCUCGCCGUCCUCCUGUCCAUCAUCGGCGACGUGCUUCCUCGCCUGCCGCAUGACGCGGAUGUGGAUCGGCCGCUCAGAGAGCUGGGCAAGACGCUGGGCGAAGCGCACGAGCUGGUCCUCGCCUGCCAGAAUUGGAGCACAGCCAGGCAGCUCAUCGGCGCCCGCUGCCAUGCCGACAGCUUGAAGGAGGUCAGUACGAGGAUCGACUCCUACAUCAACCUCUUGAACUUGGUCUUUAAUACCACCGCCGGCCGCUCCCCUCGCAACCACACGACGACAGCGCCGUCGCCGGGCAGUUCCUCUCGUCCUGCCGGCCCCGUGAGGCUCACGUGGGCGGAUACAGCAGCGGCGACCAAUUACUUCGCCGACGAACUCAGACGAGGCAGCUCGGAGGCGUUGUACAAGGGCCGUCUCCGCGACGGCCCGGAGGUGGCCGUGAAGGUGCUGAACAAGAACGGGCGGCACAACGUGGAGGGCGCGUUCGUGGCAGAGCGCUACAUCCUCUCCCCCCUCCGGCACGACCACAUCGUGCGACUCGUCGGCUGGUGCUCCGAUGAGGAGGACCGCAUGUUCGUCUACGAGCACGAGCAAAUGAGCAACGGCACGCUCAGAGACCACCUGAUGCGCCUGCGCCGGCGCGCGCGCGUUCGAGCGCGCCUGCGGGGCGGCUCCUCUAGCUCGUCGCCGGUGAGGGCGACCUGGAAGGCGCGCGUCGAGGUGCUGGUGGGCGCGUCGCAGGCCAUCGAGCACUUGCACGGCCGCGCGGUCAUCCAUCGCAACGUCAGCUCGUUCAACAUCCUCCUUGACGGAAGCUGGUCACCGCGCCUGUCUGGCUUCGGCGAAGCGAUCUUGCAGGAGGCGACCGGCGACCAGCUUGUCGCCGAGGUCGUCGGCACGCCCAGUUAUCUCGACCCGGAGUACCGCCGCACGGGGCGUGUGAGCCCGGCCAGCGAUGUGUACAGCUUCGGGACGGUGAUGCUAGAGGCGCUGACGGGGGAGGAUCCGGCCACUCUGCAGGUGGACUCCGCGCUGCUGGCCAUACGGAACAACAAGCUGCGGGAUGUGCUGGACCGCCGCCCGGCCACGGCGGGGCAGCUGGAGGCGCUGGAGCUCGUGGCACGCACGGCGGAGUGCUGCCUGUACCCGCAUGGGAAGGACAGGCCGGCCAUCUCGAAGGUUGUGGUCAGCCUCGCGAGGGCGCUCCUGAUCAUAAAUUUUACUCCAUCCGUUUCAAAAUAG